rnacentral:lncRNA from 1 species
UAAAAGUGGUCACAUUUCUAAUCUUGUAGAAAAUAAAACAAGAAGCAUGUGUUGGUCGAUGCUAAAAAAUUGCCUCAAAUGUGGACGCAGAUUUGAUAACGUUCGUUUUUCAAACAUGCAAUACAUCAACUUCUUUGGCAAAUAAAGUUAGCUUUGCUUUCCCUCUCACGAGUUUCAUUUCACCCAUGAUCAUCUGAUAAAACCAAGCUCUUUCUUCACAUUCUCUC